rnacentral:rRNA from 1 species
CCUACGGGUGGCAGCAGUGGGGAAUAUUGGGCAAUGGGCGCAAGCCUGACCCAGCAACGCCGCGUGAAGGAAGAAGGCCCUCGGGUUGUAAACUUCUUUUAUCAGGGACGAAACAAAUGACGGUACCUGAUGAAUAAGCCACGGCUAACUACGUGCCAGCAGCCGCGGUAAUACGUAGGUGGCAAGCGUUAUCCGGAUUUACUGGGUGUAAAGGGCGUGUAGGCGGGAGAGCAAGUCAGACGUGAAAUUCCAGGGCUCAACCCUGGAACGGCGUUUGAAACUGUUCUUCUUGAGUGUCGGAGAGGCAAGUGGAAUUCCUAGUGUAGCGGUGAAAUGCGUAGAUAUUAGGAGGAACACCAGUGGCGAAGGCGGCUUGCUGGACGAUGACUGACGUUGAGGCUCGAAAGCGUGGGGAGCAAACAGGAUUAGAUACCCGUGUAGUC